rnacentral:tRNA from 1 species
CGGAUAGUAGUUUAAUUGGGAAAACACCCGCUGCGGUAAUGGUAGCAGAGGGAGUCCCAGGUUCGAGUCCUGUAUAUCCGA